rnacentral:rRNA from 1 species
UACGUAGGAGACGAGCGUUGUCCGGAGUUACUGGGCGUAAAGGGUGCGCAGGUGGCGGCGCGCGUGGGGGGUGAAAUCGCCCGGCUUAACUGGGCGGGGGCCUUGCAGACGGCGUGGCUUGAGCAGCGGAGGGGGACGUGGAAUUCCGGGUGGAGCGGUGAAAUGCGUAGAGAUCCGGAGGAACACCGACGGCGCAGGCAGCGUCCUGGACGCUUGCUGACACUGAGGCACGAAAGCUGGGGGAGCAAACAGG